GUUAUGUGCUUGUAAUUUUUGAUAAUUAUUAAUGAAUGCUUAUCAAUUCAUUUUAUCAAUUUCUUAUCUUGAUACGGAUGAAAGACUUGACCGGUCAACUUCUAAUAUAAUUAUUGGCCCGAAAUUCAUUCGUACUUGCGCGUAUCCCACCGUAAUGCAAACAAAUUCUGCAAAAAAAAGAAAAGAAGAAAUGAUGUGGUUAAUGUUGUUUUUUCUCCACUUAUUCUUUUGUCCAAGUUUAAAUUUAAAUACAUCAACUACUGAAAAUCCAUGGGAUAUCGUCUCCAGAUUAGCACAACGUUAUACUGAACUAGUAAAACGUCAUAAUAAACUACGAAUAACCCAGAAAUCCAUGAUAUGCUGCAUAAAUCUGAGGGAGUACGUUAGGUAUUACGAGGAUGGAAUGCUGAAGGACUGUCCACGCCUGAUAACCUCAAAUACUUAUUACUACAAAAGUAACUGGUUUAUUUCAGAUGCAAAAAAAAAUUUUAGACUCACACAUUUAUUCUCCCUGGUAAAAGAGAGGAUUGGACUGUCUGACAACGAAAUCGACGAUAAUACUCGAUUGCGAAAAUGGGUGUUUAUUUUAAAUUACAUCAUUAUGCGGGCAACAUCAGAAGAGCUGACUCAUCCCGGCCUAAUCGAAAUAAAAAAUCAGGUAACUCGUAAAGAUACGGUAUGGAAAGGUGAUUACAUCUGGUUUGCAUAUUAUAUUUCCGCUGCGUAUGAUGUGGCCUGUGAUGGGGUGCAUCGAAAUCGAGAUAAGUGUUCUUACACGCCACCCUUCGUGAGAAACUACCCCGUGGAAGAGGAGGAUCCACCACCUGAGUUGGAAACAAUUUUAGAAAAUUGUAUUUAUUUAUUUAAUCGAGUUCAUGAAAAAUCUUCCUUUAUGGCUGGUUUAGGUUACACUCUUAGUAUAAGCGAGGAAUCAUACAAUUCGACAUCAUUUGAAUCCAUCUAAUAUUCAAUAAUCAAUCGUAUAUUAAUGGCGUUUCAUUCUUAAGAAUCAUAGAAAUAUUUCAACUUUUGUAUUAUUAAAUAAUAAACGCAGCGUGAAAAUCAAA